UACGGAGGGUGCAAGCGUUAUCCGGAUUCACUGGGUUUAAAGGGUGCGUAGGCGGAGUGGUAAGUCAGUGGUGAAAUCUCCAAGCUUAACUUGGAAACUGCCGUUGAUACUAUCAUUCUUGAAUACCGUGGAGGUAAGCGGAAUAUGUCAUGUAGCGGUGAAAUGCUUAGAUAUGACAUAGAACACCGAUUGCGAAGGCAGCUUGCUACACGAUCAUUGACACUGAGGCACGAAAGCGUGGGGAUCAAACAGG
rnacentral:rRNA from 1 species